rnacentral:lncRNA from 1 species
AAACUUAUUAGGCUUCUUGCGCUGCCUUUUGAACUUUCCAUUAUUUACCAUCAAAAUGGUCUUUCCUUUUCCCUUCAUAUUCUUUUCAGCAGGUUUUCACAUAGCUGCAAGUUGUGGUAGAGAUUUGUCCAUGUCAUUCAUGAGUAAAUUCAUGACAAAGUGGCUAAAGCUUUCUGGCAACGAUUGCAAGAUAAGAUCAAUAGCAAGUUCCUACUCAAGGGGUAAAUCCAAACGCUCGAGGUUCUCAACAUACCCAAUCAUCUUGAGUACAUGAGGUCCUAUGGGACGUCCUUAUGACAGCUUAGUUUGGAGAAAGGCCUUGGAGACAUUAAACCUCUCUUGCCUAGCCUGCUCUUGGUAAAGAGUCUACAGGUGUUCGAUCAUAUUGAACGC